rnacentral:rRNA from 1 species
AUUGAACGCUGGCGGCAUGCCUUACACAUGCAAGUCGAACGGUAACGGGCCUUCGGGUGCCGACGAGUGGCGAACGGGUGAGUAAUACAUCGGAACGUGCCCGAUCGUGGGGGAUAACGAGGCGAAAGCUUUGCUAAUACCGCAUACGAUCUACGGAUGAAAGCAGGGGACCGCAAGGCCUUGCGCGGACGGAGCGGCCGAUGGCAGAUUAGGUAGUUGGUGGGAUAAAAGCUUACCAAGCCGACGAUCUGUAGCUGGUCUGAGAGGCUGAUCAGCCACACUGGAGCUGAAACACGGCCCAGACUCCUACGAGAGGCAGCAGUGGGGAAUUUUGGACAAUGGGCGCAAGCCUGAUCCAGCCAGGCCGCGUGCGGGAUGAAGGCCUUCGGGUUGUAAACUGCUUUUGUACGGAACGAAAAGCCUUCUUUUAAUACAGGAGGGUCAUGACGGUACCGUAAGAAUAAGCACCGGCUAACUACGUG